rnacentral:misc_RNA from 1 species
GGUCCUAUAUUUUUACGAAAAUUUCAUUCUAUAUUUUAUAUUGUUUAAUUUCGAACUCUUAGUAUUUUAUAUUUUUUUUAUUGUGGUCCUUAUAUUUUUAUCAAAAUUUUAUUUAUUUUUUUCAGUAGUUAUUUUAGACCCUUUUGAAAAUAAAUUUCUAAUUAUGCCCUUAAUUCAAAUUGAUCGAGAUUAUGAUUAAAAUUUAUAGUUCUACUUCUGCUUCUUUGAGAUUAUGUUUCUAGUUUUUUCAAACCUUGAUUUAAAAGAAGUCAGAAAAAAAAAAAAAAAAACUAAGACUAUAAG